UAUUGAAUCAAUCUAGAGUUGGUUGUUGCUGGCCUCUAGGCAUGUGCACACCUUCUCUUUCAUCCACACACACACCUGUGCACUUGUGAGAUGGAGGGCCAGAAAUUUUAUUUCUGGCCUGCCAUCUGCUAUUACACAAACUCAAUUUAAUUUAAACUGAAUGUAAUUGAUGUAACACAUCUAAUACAAAGUUUCAACAACGGAUCUCUUGGCUCUCGCAUCGAUGAAGAACGCAGCGAAAUGCGAUAAGUAAUGUGAAUUGCAGAAUUCAGUGAAUCAUCGAAUCUUUGAACGCAUCUUGCACUCCUUGGUAUUCCUUGGAGCAUGCCUGUUUGAGUAUCAUGAAAUUCUCAAAGUAAAAUAUUUUGUUAAUUCAAUUGGUUUACUUUGGAUUUGGAGGCUUUGCAGAUUUUACAAUCUGCUCCUCUUGAAUGUAUUAGCUGGAUCUCAGUAUAUACUUGGUUCCACUCAGUGUGAUAAGCUAUCACUCACUGAGGACACCCGUAAAAAGGUGGCCAAGCAAUACAGAUGAACUGCUUCUAAUAGUCUAUUAAAAUAGACAAUUAAUUUCAAGAUC
rnacentral:misc_RNA from 1 species